CUGGGCGUAAAGGGUGCGUAGGCGGUCUUUCAAGUCAGGAGUGAAAGGCUACGGCUCAACCGUAGUAAGCUCUUGAAACUGGGAGACUUGAGUGCAGGAGAGGAGAGUGGAAUUCCUAGUGUAGCGGUGAAAUGCGUAGAUAUUAGGAGGAACACCAGUUGCGAAGGCGGCUCUCUGGACGGUAACUGACGCUGAGGCACGAAAGCGUGGGGAGCAAACAGGAGUAGAUACCCUGGUAGUCCACGCUGUAAACGAUGAGUACUAGGUGUCGGGGGUUACCCCCCUCGGUGCCGCAGCUAACGCAUUAAGUACUCCGCCUGGGAAGUACGCUCGCA
rnacentral:rRNA from 1 species